rnacentral:rRNA from 1 species
CAGUAGCCGCGGGAAUACGAAGGGGGCUAGCGUUGCUCGGAAUUACUGGGCGUAAAGGGCGCGUAGGCGGCGCUCCAAGUUAGGCGUGAAAUUCCCGGGCUCAACCUGGGGACUGCGCUUAAGACUGGAGUGCUUGAGGAUGGAAGAGGGUUGUGGAAUUCCCAGUGUAGAGGUGAAAUUCGUAGAUAUUGGGAAGAACACCGGUGGCGAAGGCGGCAACCUGGUCCAUUACUGACGCUGAGGCGCGACAGCGUGGGGAGCAAACAGGAUUAGAUACCCCAGUAGUCCCUGUCUCUUAUAA